rnacentral:rRNA from 1 species
AGUAAAUAGAUACCCUGGUAGUCCACGCCCUAAACUAUGUCAACUAGUUGUCGGGCCUUAAUAGGCUUGGUAAACGUAGCUAAACGCGUGAAAGUUGACCGCCUGGGGAGUACGGUCGCAAGAUUAAAACUCAAAGGAAUUGACGGGACCCGCACAAGCGGUGGAUUAUGUGGAUUAAUUCGAUGCAACGCGAAAAACCUUACCUACCCUUGACAUGUCAGAAAAUUUUCAGAGAUGAAUUUGUGCCCGAAAGGGAAUCUGAACACAGGUGCUGCAUGGCUGUCGUCAGCUCGUGUCGUGAGAUGUUGGGUUAAGUCCCGCAACGAGCGCAACCCUUGUCAUUAAUUGCCAUCAUUUGGUUGGGCACUUUAAUGAGACUGCCGGUGAU